rnacentral:rRNA from 1 species
UACGAAGGGGGCUAGCGUUGUUCGGAAUCACUGGGCGUAAAGGGCGCGUAGGUGGCUUUAUAAGUCGGGGGUGAAAGCCUGUGGCUCAACCACAGAAUUGCCUUCGAUACUGUAGAGCUUGAGACCGGAAGAGGUAAGUGGAACUGCGAGUGUAGAGGUGAAAUUCGUAGAUAUUCGCAAGAACACCAGUGGCGAAGGCGGCUUACUGGUCCGGUUCUGACGCUGAGGCGCGAAAGCGUGGGGAGCAAACAGG